rnacentral:rRNA from 1 species
AAGACCUUGCGCUUUUGGAGCGGCCGAUGUCUGAUUAGCUUGUUGGUGAGGUAAAAGCUUACCAAGGCUUCGAUCAGUAGCUGGUCUGAGAGGACGGCCAGCCACACUGGGACUGAGACACGGCCCAGACUCCUACGGGAGGCAGCAGUGGGGAAUUUUGGACAAUGGGGGCAACCCUGAUCCAGCCAUGCCGCGUGAGUGAAGAAGGCCUUCGGGUUGUAAAGCUCUUUCAGCCGGAACGAAACGGUUACGGUUAAUACCCGUGACUACUGACGGUACCGGAAGAAGAAGCACCGGCUAACUACGUGCCAGCAGCCGCGGUAAUACGUAGGGUGCAAGCGUUAAUCGGAAUUACUGGGCGUAAAGCGUGCGCAGGUGGUUUUGUAGGUCAGAUGUGAAAUCCCCGGGCUUAACCUGGGAACU